CCUUCGAUAGCUCAGUUGGUAGAGCGGUGGACUGUAGUUGUUUAAUUGUUUAUACAAAAGAAGACAUCCAUAGGUCGCUGGUUCAAAUCCGGCUCGAAGGA
rfam:Cyphomyrmex costatus contig10786, whole genome shotgun sequence.